rnacentral:rRNA from 1 species
AACGAACGCUGGCGGCAGGCUUAACACAUGCAAGUCGAGCGCCCCGCAAGGGGAGCGGCAGACGGGUGAGUAACACGUGGGAAUCUACCCAUCCCUGCGGAACAACUCCGGGAAACUGGAGCUAAUACCGCAUACGCCCUUCGGGGGAAAGAUUUAUCGGGGAUGGAUGAGCCCGCGUUGGAUUAGCUAGUUGGUGGGGUAAAGGCCUACCAAGGCGACGAUCCAUAGCUGGUCUGAGAGGAUGAUCAGCCACAUUGGGACUGAGACACGGCCCAAACUCCUACGGGAGGCAGCAGUGGGGAAUAUUGGACAAUGGGCGCAAGCCUGAUCCAGCCAUGCCGCGUGAAUGAUGAAGGCCUUAGGGUUGUAAAGUUCUUUCACCGAUGAAGAUAAUGACGGUAGUCGGAGAAGAAGCCCCGGCUAACUUCGUGCCAGCCGCCGCCGUAA